rnacentral:rRNA from 1 species
GACGAACGCUGGCGGCGCGCUUAACACAUGCAAGUCGAACGGAAAGGCCUGCUUUCCCUUGUGGAUUGCGGGUACUCGAGUGGCGAACGGGUGAGUAACACGUGAGUGAUCUGCCCCCAACUUGGGUAUAAGCCUGGGAAGCUGGGUCUAAUUCCCGAUAGGACUGCAGGGUGGUGCCUGUGGUGGAAAACGAUUUUCUAGUGGUUGGGGAUGGGCUCGCGGCCUAUCAGCUUGUUGGUGGGGUAAUGGCCUACCAAGGCGGCGACGGGUAGCCGGCCUGAGAGGGUGGACGGCCACAUUGGGACUGAGAUACGGCCCAGACUCCUACGGGAGGCAGCAGUGGGGAAUAUUGCACAAUGGGCGGAAGCCUGAUGCAGCGACGCCGCGUGGGGGAUGACGGCCUUCGGGUUGUAAACUCCUUUCGACCGCGAGGAAGCCACCUGGUUGGAAGGGUGGUGACGGUAGUGGUAGAAGAAGCACCGGCUAACUACGUG